rnacentral:rRNA from 1 species
GACAGAGGAUGCAAGCGUUAUCCGGAAUGAUUGGGCGUAAAGCGUCUGUAGGUGGCUUUUCAAGUCCGCCGUCAAAUCCCAGGGCUCAACCUGGGAAUUGCGAUGGAGACUGCAAGGCUUGAAUCUGGCAGAGGGGGGUAGAAUUCCACGUGUAGCAGUGAAAUGCGUAGAGAUGUGGAGGAAUACCGAUGGCGAAGGCAGCCCCCUGGGAUAAUACUGACGCUCAUGCACGAAAGCGUGGGGAGCAAACAGG